CCUACGGGAGGCAGCAGUGAGGAAUAUUGGUCAAUGGACGAGAGUCUGAACCAGCCAAGUCGCGUGAAGGAUGACUGCCCUAUGGGUUGUAAACUUCUUUUAUAUGGGAAUAAAACAGGGUAUGCAUACCCUCUUGUAUGUAUCAUAUGAAUAAGGAUCGGCUAACUCCGUGCCAGCAGCCGCGGUAAUACGGAGGAUCCGAGCGUUAUCCGGAUUUAUUGGGUUUAAAGGGGGCGUAGGUGGAUUGUUAAGUCAGUUGUGAAAGUUUGGGGCUCAACCGUAAAAUUGCAGUUGAAACUGGCAGACUUGAGUACAGUAGAGGUAGGCGGAAUUCGUGGUGUAGCGGUGAAAUGCUUAGAGAUCACGAAGAACACCGAUUGCGAAGGCAGCUCACUGGACUGCAACUGACGCUGAGGCUCGAAAGUGUGGGUAGCAAACAGGAUUAGAUACCCGUGUAGUC
rnacentral:rRNA from 1 species